rnacentral:rRNA from 1 species
CAAUAGCGUAUAUUAAAGUUGUUGCAGUUAAAAAGCUCGUAGUUGGAUUUUGGGUUUGGUAAAAUCGGUCUGCGUUAUGUAGUACUGACUUGCCUGCUCUUCUUCUCGAGGCCUACGGGUGUACUUAACCGUGUGUUCAUAGUGUUCGGGACUUUUACCGUGAGAAAAUUAGAGUGUUCAUAGCAGGCUUUUGCUUGAAUAUUGCAGCAUGGAAUAAUGGAAUAGGAUCAUGAUCUUAUUUUGUUGGUUUCUAAGAUCAAGAUAAUGAUUAAUAGGGAUAGUUGGGGGCAUUAAUAUUUAGUUGUCAGAGGUGAAAUUCUUAGAUUUACAAAAGAUUAACUUCUGCGAAAGCAUUUGCCAAGGAUGUUUUCGUUAA